GUAGGUGGCAAGCGUUGUCCGGAAUUAUUGGGCGUAAAGCGCGCGCAGGCGGUCCUUUAAGUCUGAUGUGAAAGCCCACGGGCUCAACCGUGGAGGGUCAUUGGAAACUGGGGGACUUGAGUACAGGAGAGGAAAGCGGAAUUCCAAGUGUAGCGGUGAAAUGCGUAGAGAUUUGGAGGAACACCAGUGGCGAAGGCGGCUUUCUGGUCUGUAACUGACGCUGAGGCGCGAAAGCGUGGGGAGCAAACAGGAUUAGAUACCCUGGUAGUCCACGCCGUAAACGAUGAGUGCUAAGUGUUAGGGGGUUUCCGCCCCUUAGUGCUGCAGCUAACGCAUUAAGCACUCCGCCUGGGGAGUACGGCCGCAAAGGCUGA
rnacentral:rRNA from 1 species